AGUUAACUCAAUUUGAUUGAGCAUUAAAGUCUGGAUCAAGUCUGAUUAAAUUAGAUUCAAUCAGGUCAGGUCGAUUAGGUUAUGAGAUGACCUAAUCGGUAAGAGAGACUUGAUCCUGAUUUGAUCGAAUCUAUGGCUCAAUUAAUUCAUUAUUUUGAUCAAAUUUAAUUAAGAUUAUGAGAGCCUAAUUAGAUUAAAUUCAUUAUAUUUUAUUU
rnacentral:lncRNA from 1 species